GGCCGCGGAGAACAGAGCGCGCCCACUUCCCCGGCCCACCGGGUUCCUCAGGCUGUUUACACUAGCGCUCUACCAACGAUGCCCAGGUUAUUCACUUUUGGAGGAUGCUGCAAUAUGAACUCAUUAAAGUUCUGGAGGCUGGAAGAUCAAGGAGCUGGUGGGUUCAGUGUCUGACACCAGGUCUCACUGUGUUGCCCAGACUGGCAGGCUGGCACGAUCAUGGCUCACUGCGCACUGACGUCCUGGCCUCAUGGAAUCCUCUCACCUCAGCCUUGUGCUUUCCUUUAUAUGUAAGGAUGUCACCACACAGCAUGCUUAAUUAUCUA